CAGCAGCCGCGGUAAUACGUAGGUGGCAAGCGUUGUCCGGAAUUAUUGGGCGUAAGGGGCUCGCAGGCGGUUUCUUAAGUCUGAUGUGAAAGCCCCCGACUCAACCGGGGAGGGUCAUUGGAAACUGGGAAACUUGAGUGCAGAAGAGGAGAGUGGAAUUCCACGUGUAGCGGUGAAAUGCGUAGAGAUGUGGAGGAACACCAGUGGCGAAGGCGACUCUCUGGUCUGUAACUGACGCUGAGGAGCGAAAGCGUGGGGAGCGAACAGGAUUAGAUACCCCAGUAGUCCCUGUCUCUUAUAC
rnacentral:rRNA from 1 species